CUUCAGGACACAGCAGUUCAGUUGCUAGGGGACUCCAAGGCGGCCAUUGGCUCUUUCCCCCGUCAAUCGCACUCAGUCGCACCGUCCCGCCGGCGGGAAGCCCUCCGCCCGGACCGAGCACCGAGGCUGCGGUUCGAGCCCCAACCCCGCCGGCCGGGCCGGCGCCGGCGCCCCGCAACCACAGCUGCGGCGGGGUCCCCUCCUGGGUUUGCAAUGAUGACGGCGUGUGCAGGCAGACGAACGGCCCUAGGACUCGGGUAGGGCUUGCGCGAAGUAAUAGCAGCUUCUGGACAAGGAAGGUUUCAGGACUUUGCACCAGCACCUGCCUCAGUAAUUUUAAUCCAGCGCAAACAGAAGAGCACAGAGGGUCCUGUGGCACUCACCCGUGGGCAUCAGAGCACCACGUUCCCAGUGUCAGACAGGCCGUCCUCCCUCUGGCAUACUCACGCAUCCAAGAAUUGCACCUCUUUAUAAUCAAGUCAUCACUUCAUGGAAUCAAAGUCCUGUUGGAGGCAGGAUAAUAAAUUUGCAGCAAUAAACUACA